ACCUACAGGCAAACUAAUCCGAUAAAGCCUGUUCUUGUCCGAUAACAGAAGCAAAGCGGUAUCAGGCCUGGUCAGUACUUGAAUAGGAGACCACCAUGGAAUUCCAGGUGCUGCAGGGU
rnacentral:rRNA from 1 species